GCCAGCUGAGGUGGCGAUGCGCACGCCCUGAGCACACCCACCAGCCCCGCGCGGCUGCGGCGCGUGCGCCCACAUGAGGUCCUCGCCGGCCGGUGGGCGCGCGCUCCGCGCCGCCCUCCUGCUCCUGAACGCGGCCUUGCGGUUCGUCCCACGCGGUGGUGGCACUGGAGCGCAGCUGUGGCUCGGAAGCCCUGUCGGCUCAGGUGCCAGCCGACGCCCGGACUGAGCCUGCCCCGCCGCCCGCGGCAAGGUCAGCGCCAGCCCGCUGGAGGUGGCUUGGGAGGGGCAAUACGGGGAGUUGUGGUCGCUCACCCUUCCAGCCCGCGCUUCAGCGUUGGGAGGUGAGAAUGACUUUUCAGUGAUCCCUGCCUGGGCUCCUCAACAAGCCAAUGUCUCCACCCAGGCCUCGGACUCAGAGGGCUGGCAUCAGUGCAUUUUGCAAUACCCAUUGGCUUCCUGAAUGUUCACAAGGCCCAACUCUUCCGGUGCGUUGGUUUUGGAGAUUAGUGGUGUUUGAUCUCCGGCAGCAAAGCCGAGUUGUCAUGUAACCCACUUUUUGCUGCAGCGUCCUCAUCUUUCAGAGGAUCCACUCAGCAGUUUUGAAGGCUAACGUGCAUUACACCAAACAAUCUGGGCACGGUUGCACAAAUCUUUAAUUCCAACUGCUCUGGAGGCUAAGACAGGAGGAUUGCACGUUUAAGGCCAGCCUCAGCAACUUUUCUUUCUUAAAAAAGAAUGAAAGAAGGAUGGGGAUGGGGAGGGUGUCAGUGGAGGCAUGGCUGUAGCUCAGGGUAGAGUGCUCCUGGGUUGAAUGGAUAAUAACUAUUUAUAAAGCAAUAACUGAAAAAUAACAGUUUUUUAACUGUUAAAUACAAUCAAUAAGUGUAAGUUAUAGAUUAUAAAUUAGUAAAAAAUAGAUUAUAAAUAUAAAAUUUUGUAAGUGAUAAGACAGUUAGUUAUAAAGCAAGAACUGUCAUAGACAGGUGUAAGACUCCAUUUUGCUGCUUUCUAUAAAAAAACUGCUACAAGAACUGUUUCUGAGAAACUGAAAUGAAAACUGUUUUCUUAUAUAUUGUUUUCUGUACUUUGUACCCCACCUGCUCAAACUCAGGAUAUGGUUGUCUAACACCUUCUUGGACCCAAGAUGUAGUUAACUGAGUUGCAAGCUAUCUGUUUUGUUGUUGUUGUUGGGGGGGGGGUACUUUGUUUUCUUUUAUUUAGCUUGUGUAACUUGCUUGCCUGCUAACUGGAAAAUUCCAGUCCUGCUUAGGGCUUGCAGAUAACUUCUGAUUUAGCUUCUGUGAUUAGCUUGCUUGCAUGACACUGAGAAAAAGCCCCUGAGCUGUGGGUUUUUCAACCUUAAGUUCUCAAGACAAGCCAGGAAAUUGCUGUUCUCCCACAGAGCUUUAGUCUCUACCUUUGGGUGACAGUCCCUGGCCAGGUAAAUAAAGCUCUCUUUGAUUUGGAUUCGGA
rnacentral:lncRNA from 1 species